rnacentral:sRNA from 1 species
GCCCUGAAGGGAAAGACUGGAAGGAACAGCAGGAACAUGUGAAGAUUUCUACACAGGCCUUGGGGAUGCUACAUUCUGUGCUUUUACCAGUCCUCUGAGAAGGUCAUGCCAGGAAGGAAUUUGCUAUGCUGAGAUGCUACAGGGAGAAACAGCCAUGAAACUGGGACAGUGAAAGAAUCAUUAGACUGCAACCCAAGGCUGACACUGAGUGAAGGUUCCUGGGGAGUCCAGAAGAGAGAUGUGUAUCCCCGUGGUUCUGAAGUUAAAGUCAGUCAUGAACUUCCCUAUAUGAGUACAGAGAACUGAACCCAGGUCCUCUGCAAGAGCACUAAGCCCACUUAGUGGCUGAGCUAUGUUUCCAGUACAAAAGAAGUUUGAUCUUUCACAUCAAAUGAAUAUUGCUUUUUAUGCUCUGUGUGCAGAGAAAGUUUCUCUUAUACAAUGGAUAACUUUAUCUCAAGAUUAUCGUCAUGAGCUCUCCACUAAUAUCUUAGAAAACCCCAACAUUUAACUCUAAAUUUACUGCUUCUGGAAAUUCAGAAGAUACUUCAUAGGUUUGUAUAGUUUAUUUAUUUUAUUUUUCGCUGCUGCGUGUCUUUCCUAAUGGUCUAUAAAUCUCAUAAAGAAAGAGACUGUAAUCAUUUUCAAGAUCGUAAUUCUGUACCUGGGACAUUAUCUAGUACUGAGCAUAUCAAAACUAUUAGAUGUUGUCAUGAUGAGCACAUAAUGUUUGUAUGAAUCAGGACCAUUUGGGGGAAUCUAUUUGGACACUGUUAGUCUUUUCCCUCCACCUGCCCCAGGAAGGAUAUAUAGAGUUCCUCAUUUGCCUACCACUUCUAUGCUUCAAUGUGCAAUUAACUCUCUGGCUUUAAGAGUAUGACAGCCACCAGUGUAUAAUGUGAUAUUUUAAUCUAAGUUAUUAUGUUUUAAUACAUGCAAGAGUGCAAGAAUGCUUUUAAUGUUAAGAACAGCACCUCAUAAUAUCAGAUUCCCCCUCCUCUCUUGAAUGUUUUGGAUAGUUUUGUUAUUCUCUAGGCCUCUAUAAUUUAAUUCUUCAAUCAUUUUGAAUUAUUAUUUUGAGUAAUAUGAAGUACUCCAGUCACUAAACAAUUCAAAGAAAAAUUUGAAGUAUGCUUAAUUAAUUAGAGGGUAUGAUUAAGUAAUUUUAUUAAUCAAAUGUAUAUUUGAAAUGAUGUCUUAAUGAAGAGAAGUUGAGGAAUGUGAUUUUGGUGACAGAGAUCUGAUUGGAGGAAUCAUACUUCAUCUGGAUAUUGAAGGACAUGAGCAGUGUUACGGCAGCAGUAAGUAAGGUGAGAUGGUCUCUAGGUAGAGGUAUGGAUAGGAAAAGCAAGGUGUUGAUUGGAAGAUGUGACUAGAAAUAGAGUGUGGCAGUCAAAACAGAGAAAGAAUAUGUUUCAGAGAAUGGAAGGAGAGGGAAACUUUGGAGCGAGUCUGAAAUAAAUGCCAAACUCAUAAGGCUUCACCUUUGUCUAUAGUCAAAGCACUGAGGUCACAUUAAAAGGACACAGCCAAGAGAUUUGUAAUGUCAGUGAUGAUUUGGUUAUAAAUAAUAGAAAUACAACUCUAAUUGCUAUG